GACGAACGCUGGCGGCGUGCUUAACACAUGCAAGUCACGGGGGCUGGCGCAAGCCAGUAACCGGCGAACGGGUGCGUAACACGUGAGCAACCUGCCGAGAUGAGGGGGAUAGCCGGCCCAACGGCCGGGUAAUACCGCAUACGAUCUCUUAGAGGAGUCUCUAGGGGAGGAAACCUCCGGGGCAUUUCGAGGGGCUCGCGGCCUAUCAGCUAGUUGGUGCGGUAACGGCGCACCAAGGCGACGACGGGUAGCUGGUCUGAGAGGAUGGCCAGCCACAUUGGGACUGAGAGACGGCCCAGACUCCUACGGGAGGCAGCAGUGGGGAAUCUUGCGCAAUGGCCGAAAGGCUGACGCAGCGACGCCGCGUGGGGAUGAAGCAUUUCGGUGUGUAAACCCCUGUUCGCCCGGGACGAAUCCUGGUUUUCGAGCCAGUUGACGGUACCGGGU
rnacentral:rRNA from 1 species